rnacentral:lncRNA from 1 species
CUUCCUUGCUCAUUGGUUGGAACCAGGUCAUGUGAACUCGCCUCAGCCAAUCACUGGCACAGGGAAUGAGACCACCGUGGGCCAAUCAGAGUUCCCUGCUGAAGGAGGGGCUGCCCCUGGGAACCUCUGUGGCUGUGGCUGAGGCGGACUGUGUGUGCCCCCGUGACAGAGACCCCGUCCCAUUGAGGCCGAGCCCGAGUGCUGGCACAGAGAAGCCUCCACACUCAGACGGCAUGUGAGCUCCUGACCAAGGUGGGCCCACAGUGCCGCCCCUCUGCCUCGCUUCCUGGACCCCAGCCUCACCCAGGUCUGCAAGUCCAGCCACCACAGGGAGGGCCUCAGAGCCUGGGGACCCGCUGGAGGGACUGGAGAUGUUCAGCCUGGAUGCCAGGCCCACUCACUCUUCAUGUGGAGUAAGGCUCUCUGGAGUUGGAGGUGCUCUCUGUACCCCGUGAGGCAGGUGUGGGGACAGGUGACAAGACACAGCAAUGAUAGGCACUUAGUUCAGCUGGGCGCUACUCUGUUGCUCCUUUAACCUUUACAGCAGCCCACAGAGUGGGGGCCCCACUUUACAGAUGAGGAAACCGAGAGAGUCAAGGGCCCAAGGGCACCCAGAUGUGGCAGGACUGGGACUUGAACCCGGGAAGGAAGCCUGGCUCAGGAUUUGCC